AGUGAACGCUGGCGGUAGGCCUAACACAUGCAAGUCGAACGGCAGCACAGUAAGAGCUUGCUCUUACGGGUGGCGAGUGGCGGACGGGUGAGGAGUACAUCGGAAUCUACUUUUUCGUGGGGGAUAACGUAGGGAAACUUACGCUAAUACCGCAUACGACCUACGGGUGAAAGCAGGGGAUCUUCGGACCUUGCGCGAUCGAAUGAGCCGAUGUCGGAUUAGCUAGUUGGCGGGGUAAAGGCCCACCAAGGCGACGAUCCGUAGCUGGUCUGAGAGGAUGAUCAGCCACACUGGAACUGAGACACGGUCCAGACUCCUACGGGAGGCAGCAGUGGGGAAUAUUGGACAAUGGGCGAAAGCCUGAUCCAGCCAUACCGCGUGGGUGAAGAAGGCCUUCGGGUUGUAAAGCCCUUUUGUUGGGAAAGAAAAGCAGCAGGUUAAUACCCCGCUGUUCUGACGGUACCCAAAGAAUAAGCACCGGCUAACUUCGCG
rnacentral:rRNA from 1 species